GUGACGAAGCGACGCCGCGUGUGGGAAGAAGGCCUUCGGGUUGUAAACCACUGUUGGGAGUUAGGAAAUGUGGAGGUGUUAAUAGCGCCUUCAUUUGACUAAAGCUCCAGAGGAAGCCACGGCUAACUCUGUGCCAGCAGCCGCGGUAAUACAGAGGUGGCAAGCGUUGUUCGGAAUUAUUGGGCGUAGAGAGCACGUAGGCGGCUCUGCAAGUCAGCUGUGAAAGCCUUCUGCUUAACGGAAGAACGGCAGUUGAAACUACAGGGCUUGAGUGCGGGAGGGGAGAGUGGAACUUCUGGUGGAGCGGUGAAAUGCGUAGAUAUCAGAAGGAACGCCGGCGGCGAAAGCGGCUCUCUGGUCCGUAACUGACGCUGAGUGUGCGAAAGCUAGGGGAGCAAACGGGAUUAGAUACCCCGGUAGUCCUAGCCGUAAACGAU
rnacentral:rRNA from 1 species